UAGUAACGGCGAGUGAAGCGGCAACAGCUCAAAUUUGAAAUCUGACUACUUUGUAGUCCGAAUUGUAAUUUGUAGAGGAUGCUUUUGGUGAGGUGCUUUCUGAGUUCCCUGGAACGGGACGCCAAAGAGGGUGAGAGCCCCGUACAGUUAGAUACUAAACCUUUGUAUAGCUCCUUCGACGAGUCGAGUAGUUUGGGAAUGCUGCUCUAAAUGGGAGGUAUAUCUCUUCUAAAGCUAAAUAUAGGCUAGAGACCGAUAGCGCACAAGUAGAGUGAUCGAAAGAUGAAAAGCACUUUGAAAAGAGAGUUAAACAGCACGUGAAAUUGUUGAAAGGGAAGCGCCUAUGACCAGACUUGUCUCUAUCAGUUUUGGUAGUUUUCGGACUGCUUUACUUCUGUUAGUACAGGCCAACAUCAGUUUGUUGUCGGGGAGAAAGGCUUAGGGAAUGUGACUCCUUCGGGAGUGUUAUAGCCCUUUGCAUAAUACCCUUCGGCAGACUGAGGACCGCGCUUCGGCAAGGAUGUUGGCGUAAUGGUCAUCAGCGACCCGUCUUGAAACACGGACCAAGGAGUCAACCUUAUGUGCGAGUGUUUGGGUGUAAAACCCCAGCGCGUAAUGAACGUGAACGUAGGUGAGAGCUUCGGCGC
rnacentral:rRNA from 1 species